rnacentral:rRNA from 1 species
UACGGGGGGGGCAAGCGUUGUUCGGAAUUACUGGGCGUAAAGGGUGCGUAGGCGGUUUGGUAAGUCUUAUGUGAAAUCUACAGGCUCAACUUGUAGUCUGCAUGAGAAACUGCCGGGCUUGAGUGUGGGAGAGGUGAGUGGAAUUCCUGGUGUAGCGGUGAAAUGCGUAGAUAUCAGGAGGAACACCUGUGGCGAAAGCGGCUCACUGGACCAUAACUGACGCUGAUGCACGAAAGCUAGGGGAGCAAACAGG